rnacentral:rRNA from 1 species
GUGGGGAAUUUUGGACAAUGGGCGCAAGCCUGAUCCAGCCAUGCCGCGUGCAGGAAGACGCAUCUAUGGUGUGUAAACUGCUUUUGUACGGGAAGAAACACUCCCUCGUGAGGGAGCUUGACGGUACCGUAAGAAUAAGGAUCGGCUAACUCCGUGCCAGCAGCCGCGGUAAUACGGAGGAUCCAAGCGUUAUCCGGAAUCAUUGGGUUUAAAGGGUCCGUAGGCGGUUUAAUAAGUCAGUGGUGAAAGCCCAUCGCUCAACGAUGGAACGGCCAUUGAUACUGUUAGACUUGAAUUACAAGGAAGUAACUAGAAUAUGUAGUGUAGCGGUGAAAUGCUUAGAUAUUACAUGGAAUACCAAUUGCGAAGGCAGGUUACUACUUGUGGAUUGACGCUGAUGGACGAAAGCGUGGGGAGCGAACAGGAUUAGAAACCCUAGUAGUCC